UCUAAUAUGGCAGAUUAGUGCAUUGAAUUUAAGAUUCAAAUAUAAAAUAAAUUUUUAUUAGAA
rnacentral:tRNA from 1 species